CUACCACGUGUUCUAAUUUGGUUAGACAUUAUACUCAUUUGAAUUGCCUUCACUCCUGAGUCUCUGAGUGUCGGGUUCAAGCUGCUGACCGAUGAGGUAUGGUCCUCGCUGUAUCAAUCAAGUCCCAUUGAAACGUUGUUCAUACAUCUUUGAAUGACCUAUGUGCUGACAAUAUGUUCUGAAAUGAAGAGAUUUUACCCCUGAUGAAGUCUUGGAACAAGACGAAACGCGUUGGAUUAUUUAUCUAUCUAUUAUCUGAUGUUACCUCCGAAUCUACAAUAAGGAGAAGGAGGAAAUCGUAGUGAUAUAUCUACGCUUUUUCCUCAUCACUACAAACAGAUUGUUCAAAUUGUGCGACAAAUGUAAAUGUAUCAACUCUGUAUACUUAUGAACAUUUGUG